GUCAGCAGCCGUAACACCUGAAGUUCAGACUAGAUAAUCCGUCUGAAACUAAGCAGGUUUGGGCCUGGCCAGUACUUGGGUGGGAGGACAGCUGGGUUGCUGCUGGGA
rnacentral:rRNA from 1 species